UAAGCCGUUGAAGGUGGCCUGUGAGGGUUGCUGGAGGUAUCAGAAGUGCGAAUGCUGACAUAAGUAACGAUAAAGCGGGUGAAAAGCCCGCUCGCCGGAAGACCAAGGGUUCCUGUCCAACGUUAAUCGGGGCAGGGUGAGUCGACCCCUAAGGCGAGGCCGAAAGGCGUAGUCGAUGGGAAACGGGUUAAUAUUCCCGUACUUGGUGUUACUGCGAAGGGGGGACGGAGAAGGCUAUGUUGGCCGGGCGACGGUUGUCCCGGUUUAAGCGUGUAGGCUGGUUUUCCAGGCAAAUCCGGAAAAUCAAGGCUGAGGCGUGACGACGAGGCACUACGGUGCUGAAGCAACAAAUGCCCUGCUUCCAGGAAAAGCCUCUAAGCAUCAGGUAACAUCAAAUCGUACCCCAAACCGACACAGGUGGUCAGGUAGAGAAUACCAAGGCGCUUGAGAGAACCCGGGUGAAGGAACUAGGCAAAAUGGUGCCGUAACU
rnacentral:rRNA from 1 species